UCGAGAAUCUUCCGCAAUGGGCGAAAGCCUGACGGAGCGACACCGCGUGCAGGAUGAAGGCCUUCGGGUUGUAAACUGCUGUCACGCUAUAGGAAUCCCGUAGCAAUACGGUUGACCAAAGCGAGAGGAAGCACCGGCUAACUCCGUGCCAGCAGCCGCGGUAAGACGGAGGGUGCAAACGUUGUUCGGAAUCACUGGGCAUAAAGCGCACGUAGGCGGCCCGCUAAGUCAGGUGUGAAAGCCCCCGGCUCAACCGGGGAACUGCAUUUGAUACUGGUGGGCUCGAGAACGGUAGGGGUGAGUGGAACUCCAGGUGGAGCGGUGAAAUGCGUAGAUAUCUGGAGGAACACCGGUGGCGAAAGCGGCUCACUGGACCGUCUCUGACGCUGAGGUGCGAAAGCUAGGGUAGCGAACGGGAUUAGAUACCCCCGUAGUCC
rnacentral:rRNA from 1 species